UAGGGAAUCUUCGGCAAUGGACGAAAGUCUGACCGAGCAACGCCGCGUGAGUGAAGAAGGUUUUCGGAUCGUAAAACUCUGUUGUUAGAGAAGAACGACGAGGAGAGUGGAAAGCUUCCUUGUGUGACGGUAUCUAACCAGAAAGGGACGGCUAACUACGUGCCAC
rnacentral:rRNA from 1 species